UACGGAGGGUGCAAGCGUUAUCCGGAUUCACUGGGUUUAAAGGGUGCGUAGGAGGGUAGGUAAGUCAGUGGUGAAAUCUCCGGGCUCAACUCGGAAACUGCCGUUGAUACUAUCUGUCUUGAAUACCGUGGAGGUGAGCGGAAUAUGUCAUGUAGCGGUGAAAUGCUUAGGUAUGACAUAGAACACCGAUCGCGAAGGCAGCUCACUACACGAAUAUUGACUCUGAGGCACGAAAGCGUGGGGAUCAAAC
rnacentral:rRNA from 1 species